UGGCAGUGGUGCAGGGGACUCACAGUGGUGGGCAGGCCUAAAUGUUCUUGUGCUGAACUCGGUGUCUCAGAGUGCCUGGUGGCCAGGCUGAGGGAGACCUGCCCUGGGCUUCUUCUCAUAUCAGGCCCUGAGGACUCUGAGUGUUGUGAGACAUGCCCUGUGCUGCCCAUUGAGGCUGGGUUGUUCUGGCCAGUGGCCUGAAGCACGUGGACUUAGUCAUCCAUCCUCUCACUUGUUCCCAAGUGCUUUCCCUGUGUGGUGUCUUGAGGCUGCAGCCUUGAGGCCUGGGAAACAGCACAAUAUGUUCACUGCAGACUGUCUCCUGCCAAGUGACUGUUAGGCAGCCUUUGUGAGACUGCGGUGCCCCAUUACUGCAGGGUUCCAAGUUCUGUUGGGACCUGUCACCAUGGAAGUGAAGUCAUGUGCUGGGGUCCAUAAGAUGAGCCUCCUGGUCUGGUUGGAAAUCAGGCAGCCCAGAGCCUGGCAGAGGUCUGCACAAUGAGGACAGCACAGGCAGGCAAGCCACAUGCCCUGAUGGAGCCCCCAGAGCAGACCUCCCUGGACAGCUGCCCCAUCAGUGGGCCCUCCUUCGUGGAUCCCAAAGGGGCCUGCAUUUUUUCCCCACAGGAGGGCAUGGUGGGAAGGAGCACCUCCAUUCCAAGCUGAAGUCCCAGCGGCAGAGCCUGUGCCAACUGCACCUGCAGGUGCUUCCUCAGCUCUGGCACCACAGCCAGAGCCAGAACCAGGAUUCCCUUGUCCUUUAACUGCACUUCUGGGGCUCCUGGUGGCUUCUCAGAGGUUGUCAGCUCCUGAGAUUCCCCUGGGGCCAGCUCCUGCCCCACACCUGCCAUUCCCCUCUAUUACUGCUGCUCAUGUUUUAUUCUUUACUUUUGUGCUUAUAUUCUGGAUUUUUGUAAAUAAUGGAGCAAUUUUAAAAUAAAA
rnacentral:lncRNA from 1 species